GAUGAAGAACGUAGCAAAAUGCGAUACUUGUGUGAAUUGCAGAAUCCCGUGAACCAUCGAGUUUUUGAACGCAAGUUGCGCCCGAAGCCUUUUGGCCGAGGGCACGUCUGCCUGGGCGUCACGCAUCGCGUCGCCCCCCCACAAUUCUCCGUAAAGGGAACAUGUGUUUUGGGGGCGGAUAUUGGUCUCCCGUGCUCAUGGCGUGGUUGGCCGAAAUAGGAGUCCUUUCGAUGGACGCACGAACUAGUGGUGGUCGUAAAAACCCUCGUCUUUUGUUUCGUGCUGUUGCUCGCAAGGUAAACUCUUUAAAAACCCCAAUGCGUCGUCUCUUGACGACGCUUCGACCGCGACCCCAGGUCAGGCGGGACUACCCGCUGAGUUUAAGCAUAUCAAUAAGCGGAGGA
rnacentral:misc_RNA from 1 species